AAUGUUAAUUAAUUUUUCACCUAUAUGAUAAAAUGUGAUUAAUCAUCCCCAUAUUUGCUGAAGCUGAAUCAUUAGUCUCAAAGGGUAAAAAAAAUUGUGAAAAAUAAAGUCUGUAAAAGAACUUUUUCUCAUCAAGAUUUUGUCCAAAACUCAAUUAUUCAAAAGUUUUGCUAUUUGAGAAAAAUAAGUUUGUUGCGCUGUUUCUGAUUAGAGUCCACAAGAAAGAAAGCAGAUUUGAGAAGGUAGUUUGAUAUUUUGUUUAAUUUUAUUAAAUCAGUCAAAUCAAGUGUAAAUGAAUCCUUUUGUGUGUUAAUGGUGUCGGUUUCAAACUUAAAAUGGAGGAAUUUGGAGUCAAAAUGUCCAUUAUUAAAUCACGUCUAUCAUAUAUGAUAAACAUUAGCUGUCGUUGACUUUUAAACCAUCUAAUGGGUCUAUUUUGGUGAAAAACUGCAGCUGAUGUCAGAUUUUUGCACCAAGUCUCCUCAGCUGUGACGCGGACUCCAUUUCCCAGGAGGCCUUUCGCGCCGGAGCCCAGGUGAACUGAUGGAGCACGCGCCGCGGUUUCACCCGGGACACGGAGGAAAAACAAACGUGGACCAAAACCUGGACCAAAACCUGGACCCGGUGCCUUUUUGUGACCCGUUCCGACCCGGUUGGAGUUUCAAGGCUCCUGGAACUGGACCCGGACCUGGACCCGGACCUGGACCUGGGUUCCCCUUAAAGGUGUGGUCAGUGAAUGCAUCACCAGUGAUGCAGAUGAGCUGCAGUGACCCAUGGACGAUUAAAGGACACUUCCAGUGUCAUAUUUGAAG